UACGAAUGGGGCAAGCGUUGUUCGGAAUCACUGGGCUUAAAGCGUAUGCAGGCGGCCAAGCAAGUCAGGAGUGAAAUCCCCGGGCUCAACCCGGGAAUUGCUUUUGAAACUGCUCGGCUAGAAUCCCGGAGAGGUUAGCAGAAUUCCGAGUGUAGAGGUGAAAUUCGCAGAUAUUCGGAGGAAUACCAGUGGCGCAAGCGGCUAACUGGACGGGCAUUGACGCUCAGAUACGAAAGCGUGGGUAGCAAACAGG
rnacentral:rRNA from 1 species